rnacentral:misc_RNA from 1 species
GCAUUGCUUGCGCUAUAAGAGACAAACAAGGGGAAAAACAGAACAUAGAAAAAAAAAACGAGAUAAAAGAUUAGAGAAAACGAGGGAGAGAGAGAGAGAGAGAGAGGAAGGGAAGAAGAAGGCGGAUACAAGCAAAUAAAAUCCGCGUUAAGACAGUAAGCAAACGAACGGCAUUUGCGGUGUAAAUGCGGCUUAAAGAUUGACGCCGCACGAAACAAGCUCGCCCACUCUCAUCGGGCGGAAAACUGCGCUAUCAUCCUUCUACACCACAAUGAUCUUGACAGUGACCGUAGCGAUCAAUGGCGCCGUCAAUUAGGCGAAUCGCGUACUCGGGUUUAUGGCCAACGUAUCGAGGACGCCGAGCCACGCGUUAUCCUGGAAAUUUGACGACUACUAUCAACGUCCAUGUAACAUGGUUCACGCGCUUCUUUCAUUCUACUCUGCGUCUCAGUUCGAAAACUGGAUAUGACCCACUGAGGACUACGCGCAGAAAUAAAACGAAAAUCGGUCGAGUAACGUGAACUGACCUCUGCUUUGCCGCUCCUCAUCGAUUUUCUGAACAUACGUCAAUACGAAGUACGCCAGACACGUAUUCAUGGAAUUAAAUACUACCUUCUUUUUCAAUAGUCGAUAAAUAGAAAUUUCUGUCAGUUUGUAUAGCAGCCAUGUUAAAUAUGUAAGGAAUGAGAAAUAAGAUAUUUUCGGUACAAACGUGCUUAUCUCUAAAUAUUUUGAGGUUAGCUUCGGUAACUUUACGUUAUCUUUAUAUCGAGCAAUCUAAUGUAUAAUAUGCGAAAGCAAUGUAAACUGCGCAUUACUUAAUGCUUUAUCUGACAUUAAAUAUUAAAUAUUAAUAUUGUAUUGUCUUAUGUUCAAUGUAUUUCUACAAAAUUUGUAUCAACUAUGAAGAAUUCAUUUGAUACACUCAUUUAAUUAUUUGAUCGUACAAUUAGUAAAGGAUGUGACAAUUAUAUAAAAAAAGAAUUAAAGAAAAAAUUAAAAUGAAAUGUAUCUCAGAAAUGUAUAUGUUGAAAUCAUUAAUGCAUCACCUGGUAACUUUGUUUAUCACACCAGGGUAUAAUUCCAUUUCAUCUGUAUAUUAUGAUUGCUCAAUAAAAUUACAUAUAUAUUGCCAAUUGUAUAACUUCAAAAAUGUUUGAUCCUCGUACUUAAUAAGUAGAUGUAUCAUUAUAAUAAUCACACUGUAAAUAUAAUUAUGUUAAAUCUACUAUAUACAGCACAUAUUACUUCCAAAAAUUAUAAAAUAACAUGAUCAAAGAUAGUAUAUAUCUUACAUUCUCACAUCUUAAAGUCAUUGAAGAUAGAUUCGCUUAGUUGUAGCAUAGGAAAGCUUAUAUUAAGUCAGACACAACAUAUUCGUAUUAUUAUGUAAUAUCUCUGUAUAAUGGAUCCACUGAAUAAUCCAUCUCUGUAUAGAUGUUAUAAUAUUAUAGCUCAUACUAACUACAACAUCAACGAUGUUCAAAUAAAGCAAUAAAUUUAAUAGUAAUUCCAUAUAU